UUACUUGGGAGUAACCUGGUGAUCAACACUCCCGGACAGAGUCGUGUCCCUCCUCCUCCUCACGUGCUCCUCCUCGGGCUGUAUUUCCUCCUCGGCCAAGUAUUUCCUCAACACGCCCUGCGCAACGUCACGGUUCAAGAUGAGGUUGACUUCAGAGGCUGCGUUCAGCAGGUCUGGGUAAAGUUCUCUUGCGAUAGACGGGUGCUGUCUCAAGAAGGUCUCGGGAUCUUCUCUAAGGUCUUCCUUCCCUGAGACAGCUUGCAGAGGAACAGCCGCGGCCCAGGACACCGCGAGCACCACCACCAGCAGGAGGGGAC